AGUGAACGCUGGCGGUAGGCCUAACACAUGCAAGUCGAACGGCAGCACAGUAAGAGCUUGCUCUUACGGGUGGCGAGUGGCGGACGGGUGAGGAAUACAUCGGAAUCUACUUUUUCGUGGGGGAUAACGUAGGGAAACUUACGCUAAUACCGCAUACGACCUACGGGUGAAAGCAGCGGAUCUUCGGACCUUGCGCGAUUGAAUGAGCCGAUGUCGGAUUAGCUAGUUGGCGGGGUAAAGGCCCACCAAGGCGACGAUCCGUAGCUGGUCUGAGAGGAUGAUCAGCCACACUGGAACUGAGACACGGUCCAGACUCCUACGGGAGGCAGCAGUGGGGAAUAUUGGACAAUGGGCGAAAGCCUGAUCCAGCCAUACCGCGUGGGUGAAGAAGGCCUUCGGGUUGUAAAGCCCUUUUGUUGGGAAAGAAAAGCAGCAGGUUAAUACCCCGCUGUUCUGACGGUACCCAAAGAAUAAGCACCGGCUAACUUCGUG
rnacentral:rRNA from 1 species